UCGGGUGCCACCAGCAGCGACUUCACGGCUAGCUAAGCUAGCUAGCGGCUGCGCGGGGAUCCCGUGUGUGUGGCGAGGAGCUAAGCCAGGGGGCCGGAAGUUAAUUACGGCGUAUAUAUGCAAUUUGCUUGACCCAGCUGGCCGGACCCCGGACGGCCGACGGCCUUUUGUUUUCCGAGACGGCGAUCGAUGGCGCGGGGAAAGCGAGCGCGCGACGAGCAGAGCGUGUGGACGGGACGCGAUCGAGGGUAGGACUAAUUCGAGGCCGGGCGGCGCCGCCUUCCCACGCGGAGACGGUGCCCGGCCGGCCGGCCUGUGCGCUCACGCCACGUACCGCGCGCGCCGCCAUCUGCCGGCCGGUGACAGGGCAUAUGUUAUACGGAUACGGAGUAUGACCGCGAUCGUCCAUGCAUAUGUACGCGUCGACCUUGCUAGCUCGAGUAGUGUUUAUGCGGUAUAUAUGUAGGUACGAUUCUAAGGUAUAUAUAGAUUCCAUUUGCCAAUCAUAGUGUAGCGCAUAUGCUGUUAAGUUGUUCUUGGCGGCACAUCUUAUGCUUUCUGUAGUGGUGCGCCGAUUGACCAGCCGACGUGGUAGUACUGCCAGUCGGAAUUAGAUUGCGUACGUUAUUGAGGCUGUACGUUCAGCUGGUGUGGGUUGCCAUGGCAACUUUAUUGCUACCAUAUAAUGUAGCAUUGCGAAUUUGCUGAAUUUUUGAAAUAACGACAGAUACGAAAACAUGUGUCUCGAAAACUCAGAGUUCAAUAUUUUGGUGAAGUUUCAUCGAUAUAAUAUCAGAAUUUCCUAAACUUUGGUCAUUUUGGCAAGUACCAAAAUCUUUUUGUAUUAAAAAAACCCACUUGUAUUGUAAUUUUGACGAACUUUUUUUGAACAAAUAAUUUUGACUAAAUUUAAACUUCUGGAGUUGUAUCUGCGGCAUUCCUAGAUGACAAUUAAAUAUUAAAUUCUGAUAAAAUGCUAUCAUUCAGCUGACUUUACUCUAUAAAGUGCUGCAAAAAAAGUGUGAAAGGAACAAAAGAUAAUAGUUAAUCAAACGGUAAAACAAACAAAAGUUGAUUUGAGCAAGCAUAAUUAUCACAAUUCACAGCAAUAAAAAAACAGCCUUGAAAGAUUAACUGAAGGGUCCGCCCGCGGCGAAGUCGCCGUAGGCCAUGUGCUGACACUGCGAGCAAGUACGCGCGACGGCGACGGCGCGCUCCGCCUGCGCCACUCGCCCACUCGCGCGCCGGCCGCUGCUACGUACGGUAGCAUGGCCUGUGAUCCUCGUUGGAAGCGGUCGAGAAUCGGGAUCACGUCGCCGACACGACGUCAUGCACCGUCCUACCUGCGUGUUUAUAUCUUGUGGCGGCAGAGGAUUGCCUCGUACGUGCUGUCUGGCUCUCCUCCAUUCGAUUCAGAUCGAUGCUGACAUCCACGACGGCGGAAAACAUCGUCGUACCCCUCCUGAUCGGUACGGAGUAUAUGCUAAAGCUGCCCGCUUGCCAGUUGCAACCAUGCUUGCUCCGGCGACCGCGGGGAUUUCCACACGGCCCACACAAUUCAGACCACGCAAGGCCCAUCAGAACUCGAGAUGCCAUGCUGCAGAUUCAGGAUAUUGUUUGUCCUAAGUACUGAUGCUACUCCCCUAAAAAAAGUACUGAUGCUACAGAAAUAUGUAUGUUGUAUGCACCAGUAAAAAGAAGACGUGUAGGACUCGAGAAUGGAUAGAUUUAAUCUGAAUGCAAACAAAUACGAAUGUCGUAUGAACACUCGAAAGUUCCUUUCCAGACAAA